rnacentral:rRNA from 1 species
AUUGAACGCUGGCGGCAGGCCUAACACAUGCAAGUCGAACGAGUGGCGGACGGGUGAGUAAUGUCUGGGAAACUGCCCGAUGGAGGGGGAUAACUACUGGAAACGGUAGCUAAUACCGCAUACCAUCGGAUGUGCCCAUAUGUGCUUAGCUUGUUGGUGGGGUAACGGCUCCCCUAGGCGACGAUCCCUAGCUGGUCUGAGAGGAUGACCAGCCACACUGGAACGGAGACACGGACCAAACGCCUAAGGGAGGCAGCGGUGGGGAAUAUUGCACAAGGGGCGCUAGCCAGAUGCACCCAUGCGGCGUGUAUGAAGAAGGCCUACGGGUUGUAAAGUACGUUAAGCGAGGAGGCGUUACCCGCAGAAGAAGCACCGGCUAACUCCGUGCCAGCAGCCGCGGUAAUUC